rnacentral:misc_RNA from 1 species
UCCGGUUUAUCACCGGCAGUUCCCCAUGAGUCCCCGGCAUAUGUCAAGCCUUGGUAAGGUUCUUCGCGUUGCGUCGAAUUAAGCCACAUGCUCCGCUGCUUGUGCGGGCCCCCGUCAAUUCCUUUGAGUUUUAGCCUUGCGGCCGUACUCCCCAGGCGGGGAACUUAAUGCGUUAGCUGCGGCACCGACGACGUGGAAUGUCGCCAACACCUAGUUCCCAACGUUUACGGCGUGGACUAC